UGUUAAUUUUUAGCAGCAUCCAUUGUGGUGGGUUCCCAAAAUUCUGCCCCUCCGAACAUUUUAGUUCACUACUUUUAAUGGAAGCUAAAGCCUGGGUUUUGUCUACUCAAAUACAAUCCGAACAGUGUUUUGAUAUCCAACAUCUCCGAGUAAGGUUUACGUAAUUGUAUAAAAAAUACAAACUGAGAAUUUUAAUUUCAUUACAAUUGCCUUAAGGUAUUUUUGAUCGUCAUCAUUUUGUAGUUGAGUAAACCGUGAUGCAGCCCAUUUGCAUCUUCGAACGUAUUGCAUGUUUUGUUCAUUUUAAGCAUAUUAACUCAAUUAGUGAUAGGUUUGUUAUGUUCAAACAUGGUGUGACGUUAAAUGAAGCAUAACACAUUAUUAUGGCCUUAGAAUUGUAUCACAUUUAGUGUUUCGAGGCAUAAUUUCAAAAUUAGUAACAGUGAUUUGUUUUAAUACUUCACGUUUAUGCAAAUGAGUUAAGAAACUCUUCCUAGUUGUCGCUUUAAAAGCCUCUCGGUUUUUGCAAUCUUCAGUCAGUGUUACAGACAACUAUUGCAGGUUUGGAUAUCAACUUCGCAUUUGACAACAUGCAGCUCUAUUCGAUUUGGUCAGGCCUUGUAUUGUUAGCCAUAUUCGUGGGUUCCUGCCAGGGUGUCUUCAUACCUUUAAAUAAAUUGAAACGCAAAAAUGGGUAAAUUGAAAGUGGCUAAGGAUCAGGAUUCUUGAAAUAAUCAUGGAAACUUCUCGGACAUAAUGGUUUUGAUAUAAUGUUAAAAUUCAAAAUUUUUCCUUUAUAAACUAAUUUUUGCAAUGAUUUCAAGUCAAAGAAUUAAUAGUUAAAAAAAUAAAUUUUUUUUUCUAAAAUGUAAGUCACUUUAUAUUAAUGGACACAAUCUUGUGUGUACUUUGUAAAACUCGAUCGCUGACUGUAUCUCAUAUUACUUCAAAAAUGACUACGAAUUUCUUCUUUGCGAAAAA
rnacentral:sRNA from 1 species